rnacentral:rRNA from 1 species
GGGGAAUAUUGGACAAUGGGCGGAAGCCUGAUCCAGCCAUGCCGCGUGUGUGAAGAAGGCCUUUUGGUUGUAAAGCACUUUAAGCGAGGAGGAGGCUACUCUAGUUACUACCUAGAGAUAGUGGACGUUACUCGCAGAAUAAGCACCGGCUACCUCUGUGCCAGCAGCCGCGGUAAUACAGAGGGUGCGAGCGUUAAUCGGAUUUACUGGGCGUACAGCGUGCGUAGGCGGCUGAUUAAGUCGGAUGUGAAAUCCCUGAGCUUAACUUACGA